GGGACGGGCGGAGCGAAACACUGCCCGGCGGGCCCAGGCCGACAGUGCCUGUGGCUCUCCGGAACAAUAAACCCCCGGCUCCGGUGAUGUGGGCCAGACCGGACCUAGAGAGGCGGCACCGCGACCCCUCACUCAACCCGCCUGGCGGCCGGGAGCAGUGUGACUCGGCCCGCUACCGUGUUACAGCUGGCGACUGACAAACAGCAGGCGACGUCGGGAGAACUCCCCGAGAUGGCCGAGACAUCAGCCUUCUUGCUCCACGGCCCUGUAGGACCUGCCCGCCGGGAGCCCCGGAGUCCGCGGCAGCGCCGAGGGCCCCUCCCCCAGGUCUCUGGGCUCUGAGGGACCAUGCCUGGCCGGAUGCUGCCGCCUGGCUUCAAUGCCAUCUGCAUGUCCUCAGGGAUGACAAAGGACUCAUUGUACCAGAUGUCAAAUUCUACAAGGAGGUGAGGAGACAGAACCUGAGGAAGCUGACAGUCUUGGUCUGUCACCCAGACUGGAGUGCAAUGGCGCAAUCUUGCCUCACUGCAACCUCUGCCUCCUGGGUUCAAGCAAUUUUCAUGCCUCAGCCUCCCAAGAUGCUGGGAUUACAGGUGUGCAUCACCAUACCCUGCUCCUCUGAGAAAUAAAUGAGUAAAAUGCACCUUCUGUGAGUGAGAUGAUGCAUCUGACUUGCAGGAAUAAACCAAGUGACAUCUGGAGAUCAUUUAUGAAAG